rnacentral:lncRNA from 1 species
CCCGGCUUCCUGAAAAUCGAGACCAAGCCCGUUUGGUACAACCACAACGCGGAGCUCUCCAGCGCUGGGAAGAGGCCCAAGGAGGCCCCGAGGUUCGCAGCCCCAGGCCCCCAGCCCACCCGGGACACCUCUCCCUGAGGAUCCAGGGCCCAAACCAAACAGCAAGUACAAUUCUGAGAACUGUGGAACUUCCUCCUUUCAUUUUAAGCUUCUCCUGCCUUUGCUUGAUGGAAUCGUGUCACGGCCCCUCCCUGCGUCUCUCCACUGUGGACCCAAAGCUGCGGAGAGCUCCUUCUUUCUCAGACAUGCAUAGGUGCGUGCAUUGUGUAGAGAAGGAGUUGGACUUUGGGACCAGACAGAUCUGUCACUUACUGGCCAUAGGAGUCCUGCUCUGAGAGCCUCAGCUUCGUCAUCCGAAACAUGGGCAUGAUAACAUUGCCUGUGAUCGUCAUGAAGAGGCCCGGGGACGCUGGAGGAUGGUCCUGCAGCCUAGUCGCUUUGUGAGCCCAGCCUGGGCACAGCGCGGCAGCGUGUCUGACACAGCAGCAAGACCACCAGUGCCACCGAGGACCCACAGUGAAGUCAGCUUCCUCAAAGUCUGCUUCAAACAUUUAUAAGACGAAAAAACAAAGAUUUCCCUCUGGGGUGGCUUUCAAAACUAGUUUUGAUCAUUUGAAGAGUAAAUCCUUAGCUACUUAGAAAGCUUGACAAUCUAAAAUGAUUCAUUUGUCAAAUAUUUAGGUUAGUUGAGAUUUAGCAUUUACUAGUAUGUAAAGGAGGCUUGACUGGAAACUGAUCAGACAGAUUUUGUGUGUAAUGUUCCAAUGUACUUCAGCCGCUUUCGUCACUGAUGGGCACACCCCUCAACAUAGCACCCACCCUCCUGUGUGUGCGCACGUGUGUGUGCACGUGCUUGUCAGGGACGCACGUGUGAGUGCAUCCUCCUCAUUGGGGUUUAUUGUAUUUUCUUUGUGUUGCUAAUGCUUUUGGCCUCUGGGGGUGCUCUAUAUAUACAGAUGCAGAAUUUGAGAAACACAGGAUUUUCAACCUGAAAGGAACCUUAGGCAUCUUCUAAUCCACUUGUCUCAUUUUGCACAUACGGCAAUUAAUGUCCAAAGAGGUGAAGGGAUUUGCUGGGGUCGGGGUGGGGGGUGUCAGAUGUAGAACCCAGGUCUCUCUCUUUCUCUCUCUCUCUCUCACAUGCACACACUCACUCAUGCUGUAGUAAGAGAGGGCUAUUUCCUCAUUGUUCACAGCAUCUCUUUGUUUCUCUCUCUCUCUCCCUUGUGCUUCUUUUUUUGCCAUCAGUCUGUCUGUCUUUCCUCCUCCCCUCGCUGCUCUGCGUUCCUGGGCCGGGAGCUGAGGUGGCAUAGGCAGUGGAGAUGCUGGCUCCCAGGAAGGCUGCCGCAGCAGCUGGCAAGGCCAGUGCCCACCAGUAGUGGGGAAGUGGAGGCACAGCGUGUUCUCUGCUUCCCUGUCAGCUGUGAGCCUAGGGCAGCAAUGCCUCAGUCCUGGGGGAAGAGGCACAGAGGAAGGAGGGUGGGUUGGCCCCGCUGUUAUGCAAUCUGUUUUCAGCCUGAUCCUCUUUCCUUGGCUCCCUCCCCUGGGAGCUGACGUUCUCUUAGGGAGAGGCAACCGGUUACCUCCUGGCCAUUCCUCCUUCUUGAGUCCUUUUCUCUAGCCUGAGCCACGUGACCUCCAGUUCAGAUACCCCUUUCUGGAAGAUGUAUGUGCUCCUUGACUCAUGUCCGAGAGACACGGGAGAGUGCUCCCUUCUCAUCCUGAUAUCCUGAUGCUGAAGUCUGGCUCCCAAUUCUAAGCAGACGGUAGAAAUGGCUGUUUGGCUGUGUCUCAUUUUCCAGAAAGGCAUGGAAUCUCAGAUUUGGAAUGGAGUUUAGAGGUCAUCUCUCUUACUCCCACAGCUGUUGGAGGAAUCCAUCCUCUGGCAUCCCUCAAGUUUGUCCAGUCUGCCUAACCCCCUCCAGUGAUGGGCCAGUUCCUUUAAACAGUCCUGCUAUCAUGCAUUUCUCUUAAGGCGCAGCCUUGUCUCCUUGCUUUUCCCACCAAAGGUCCUGCAGUAGGUGGCUUCCCCUGUUUUCUCAACUUCUUUGUUUCUCCUUUGUUCUAUAAUACGCUUAAAUCUGGCUUUUGCCUCUCCCACUUUACUACCAAAAUUAUCCUUAGUAAAGUCAUCAGUGGUUUCCUUCGCCAAAUCCAGCAGCUAUUUCUUUAGUCUUUGUUUAAAUGCUAUUAACCACUUCGUUGAAAUAUCUUCUUUCUCUUUCGAGAAAUGCAUUGUUCUCUCUUUGUUCUCCCACUACUUCCCACUAGCCCUCUCGACUGGGUCCUUUCUCUGUCCAGUCUUUAAAUACUGGGCUUACCCCAGUCUCACUCUUGAAUUUUUCUUCUUUUUAUGCUUCACACUCUCCUAGGGUCACCACAUUCUUGCCCAGGAGCCUAAUCCCCCAUCAAAUGCUGGUGGUCCCAAUUGAACGUGUCCAGUCCCCUCUGCCUUCCUACGCUCUGCCACAUCUUCGCCUCCUCCCCACCAGGCCCUCAUUCUGUCCUACUUACACUAUUGCCGUAGUCUUCCAGCUGGUCUCUUUGCCCUUGACCUCACCAUCUCUGACCCACAUGCACUUAACCCUGCACACAGGAUGAAUUUUCUAAAACUUAGGUCUGGUCAUGCCAACUCCCUCCUUCAAAGCCUUCCCAUUGCCUCCAGGAUAGAACCCAAUCUUGUUGGCCUGGGAUUCCAGGAUCCUCAUACCCUAUCCUGUUUCCUCUGCUUCCCCAUCUAAGUCUGUCUUCUGGCACCUCUUCUUCCCCCUGUCCUGGGUCCCCGGCCCUAACUGGUACCAGUCUCAUCCUCGCUCUCCCAGCUCCCACUAAGUUCUACAGUCCCACGAUCUCGCUCACUCAGGGCCUGCUCCCCACUCUGGAAUCUUCGCUCCUUUCUUUUCCUAGCUAACUGCUACUCAGUUUUCACAUCUCCCCUUGAGCAUCACUGCUUCAGGGAAGUCUUAGUUGCCUGACUCCACAGACUAAGGUAGGUGACCCAUUGCACACUCCCAAGAUACUCAGUCCUUUUUAUAGCCAUCUGCAAGACUGUCAUGAUUUAAUUAGUUACUGGUUGAUUCCUCCCGCACCCCCAGCCUCAGUAGACUGUACAUUCCUCCAGGUCACGACGACUGUGCCUUGUUGUUCCCUCUCCACCCCAGUGCCUGUGUACACCAUAAGCUCUUGUCUGAUUGUGUGAUCGGAGAGCUUUGAAUAUGCCCACCUGAGUAGGAUCUUGAUCCUAUAACCGGGCAAUAGAGGCACAAGGUUAUCCCCACUACGACAGUGACCUGAUGAAAAUUUGGGUUUCAGGAAGAUUGGCUGCAGAGCUUUACACAGGACAAGGCGGCAGCAGCAGCAGGGACUGGGGCCUGGCAGCGGUACAGGCAUGAGGUGCGGGUCUGAGAUGAGUGACUUUCCUCUCCCAGCCCAUAUGCUUCCGAUGGAGAGUCCAGGAGAUAGAGGCAAUUUGCGCACGAUUGAAAAUGAACAGAAUCCAGGAGUAGGCUUAUGAUAAGCUCAGCACACGAUUGUGGAAUGACCUUACCUUAUUGUGGGAAGGUUUUCUCUCACUUUCUUCUCUUUCUGAAUCUGUUCUUAUUUCAUUCCUUGGUCCCAUCGCCUCCUCUUCCAAGAAUGGAAUCCCGAAGAAGAUGCUCUCUGUUUGGAAGAAUGUUCCUAUCUGAUUGGCUGCUAAUUUGUUAAUAUUUUUGUUAUUCUCCACAAUACAUGCACAACUUUCAGGUAUCGCAUCUGGAGGCAUGAACCCCAGAGAAGAAUAAAAUUGUAGUUGGAAGAAUCCAAAAGUGGCUGGGGUUCUGAGGUUCAGACCAGCUAAACUGAUAGCUUUUCUCAACUCUAAUUUCUGUGAUAGGGACAAGGAGCGCCUGUCACAGCUUUCUCACCCUGGGCCCGUGAUCUCCAGCCCAGUAACAAGUUAGGACACUGCUUUUCUGCUCUUUGUUAUACUGGGUUCUGCCCCAUCUCUCUAAAGCAAUCUUAUAAAUCAUUGAUGAGAAUAUUUCUAUUUUUAUCUUAAACAUCCUAGCCAAGAAAGCCUUAUGAAUACUUUCCAAAUCAAGUGCUGGCAUUGCACGAUGCUUCCUCAUUGAUGGCAGCCCCAUUUCAUUGUUUUUUUGUCACUUCUUGGCUCUGCCAUCCAUGUCAGCAAUGCCAAGUCUCAGCUUGGGGGUGGGGGCUGACCCUGAUGCAGAAGCUUCUGUGGUGUCCCUUUCAUGGGCAGGAUCUCCUUUCCUUCCUUCUUCCCCGUGGCUGCCCCCCAAAACCUCCAUCUUAAACGUUUUUUUUUCUUGGUGAGGAAGAUUGACCAUGAGCUAACAUCUGUGCCAGUCUUCCUCUAUUUUGUAUGUGGGAUGCUACCAUAGCAUGGUUGCAUGAGCAGUGUGUAGGUCCACACCUGGGAUCUGAACUGGUGAACUCCCAGCCACUGAAGUGGAGUGUGUGAACUUAACCACUAUGCCACUAGCCCAGCCACACCAUCUUAAACUUUUCAACCUUGAAAUGAAGUUAUGACUGAUAUUUAUUCUCAGUAAGGUUUUCUCCUGUUGUCCAUCCUGCCUCUGAACCACCACCCCUCCAUCCUGAUCAUCAUCCAUG